rnacentral:tRNA from 2 species
GCCCAGGUGUUGGAACUGGUAGACAAGCAGGAUUUAGAUUCCUGUGUCCUCGUGGCGUGAGGGUUCGACUCCCUCCCUGGGCACCA